rnacentral:rRNA from 1 species
UACGUAGGUGGCAAGCGUUGUCCGGAUUUACUGGGCGUAAAGAGCGCGCAGGCGGUCGUUCAAGUCGCGUGUGAAAGCCCCCGGCUCAACUGGGGAGGGUCACUCGAUACUGAUCGACUGGAAGGCAGGAGAGGGUAGUGGAAUUCCCGGUGUAGCGGUGGAAUGCGUAGAGAUCGGGAAGAACAUCGGUGGCGAAGGCGGUCUGCUGGGCCGUUGCUGACGCUGAGGCGCGAAAGCAUGGGGAGCGAACAGG